AAGGAAGGCAGGCAGGCAAAACUCCACUCUCAGUUUACUUUUAAAGGUAUGCAAAGACCAUUUGCACCUCCUCGACCCAUCUUUUAAGGGAUGCCCUGGGUAGCAGGGCUCUUCUGCUAGAGAUGUGCAACUGAAGGAGCUGCCUGGCAAAUCCAGAGGUGAGUAGAGGUGAGAAAUAGGCCGCCUUUCCACCAGAUAAACAUGAAGAAGGAGGAAGGGAUUGAGGAAAGGUCACAUUUAAAGGGAAAGGGAACUAAUUCACUCUUUCUUUCUUUCUUUCUUUCUUUCUUUCUUUCUUUCUUUCUUUCCUUUUUAAAUCAGUUUUUAUUGAUUUUCAUACAUAUAUCAUACAUAAUUCAACUUAACCAAACAAUUGUUUUAUAAAUUCCCCUCUCCCCCUUAGCUUCCCUCCAUUUCUGUUUCUGGUUUGUUAAACCACUUGUUGCAUUCUGCUGCUUAUAUAUAGUAGUAAAUUAUCACAUUGUUAUCUUUCUUGUUCUCUCUAAUUACAUUAUAUAUGUUUAUUUAAACCCUGCCAAAGGGUUUCACUUUCUGAAACAAUCCACAAAGCCAAAGACAGACAUCUUUCAAAAUUCGCGCUUCUCCAAAUUUUGCAAUGUAGUGAAAAGUUUGCAAAAUUCAUAUCCCUGAGUAAAGCCUUCAUUAAAAACACAUGUAGUCAUUAAAAUAGCACAAAGGGGCAUUAUUUGCUGGAAAAUAUAUAUCUAGGAAGCAUAACUGCAGGCAAAAAUAUUAGGAGAAAUUUGCAAUGAAAAGCUGAUGAAUUUUGUGAGGGGUUUUUUUUAAAAAAGCAACAACAAACUGAUGUGGAAAUGUGGAAAACUGAACUGAAAACCUGGAAGAAUGAGAACCCGAGAGAAACCACAACUUUCAGAUUUGCCCAUUAGUCAAAUGUGGAGGGAAAGGGAAGACAUUUUCCUACUUCCUGUCUAAUAAUAAAACCCAACUUCCACACCAGUGGUUCUCAUCACAGCUUCACACUGAUUCUGCAGUAUAUCAUUCCAUCUGGGAUCACUGAGGGGAAAGUUGGUUGCAACUCUUUCGCCCAUAAUCCUUGGGAGUUGUAGUUCAACUCACGAGAUUCCAGGCAGAAAUAGAUCCUGAAGCACCGAGCUGCUGGCAGAGUCUUCUUUCGUGUUCAAAGGAACAUGAGAAAGGAAUAGCAGUCUGGGAGAAUCUCUCCAGUCACAAAGGAGCUACCACCUGAUGCCUUGGUCUCAGCUCUAGGAUAGGCUAAUAGAGUUUGUGAGAUAGAAUCAGGCCCUUUUGAGCCACUUGAACAAGUUUUGGGCGUAGCAGUCUGUGACUCACCCAUUCCUAAUUGUUUCCAUUUCAGGGCCUGGAGCACGUUUUAAGAAAAAAUUACAGUGGUACCUCGGGUUAAGAACUUAAUUCGUUCAGGAGGUCCAUUCUUAACCUGAAACUGUUCUUAACCUGAGGUACCACUUUAGCUAAUGGGGCCUCCCGCUGCUGCCACACCGCCGCCGUUCUCAUUUCUGUUCUCAUCCUGAAGAAAAGUUCUUAACCUGAGGUACUAUUUCUGGGUUAGCGGAGUCUGUAACCUGAAGCGUCUGUAACCUGAGGUACCACUGUAGACUUCCCAGACCCAACUCAAUCAAAGGCUAGCAGACAGGAAAGAUCUUUAUUUGCCUGCUCUCUGUCCCCCGCUUAUCUGGUUGUGAGCUAUGCGGCUUGCAGUCCAGCAAACACACUCUCACACAGCUUCCUUCCUCGCCCCCCGCACCCCAACACACUUUUUUGCAAAGGAAAAUAUGCAGUUUUUACAUGUAAUGGAGAAUGGGGACAGAGUUGGAGGGUCCUCUCAGUUUGAUGGUGAUGGGGGGUAAGCCCUGGCCAGAUGAUUUUCUUUCCUCUUUUCUUUUUUGCAAGGAUUCUGAGCAAGCGAGGGAUGGGGUUCUUUCCUGUGCCUCCCCCUCCCCCUCCCCCUCCCCCUCCAGUGGCUGGCAAAGAAGAGGAGGAGGAGGAGGAGGAGGAGGAGGAGGAGGAGGAGGAGGAGUUUGGAUUUGAUAUCCCACUUUAUCACUACCCGAAGGAGUCUCAAAGCAGCUAACAUUCUCCUUUUCCCUUCCUCCCCCACAACAAACACUCUGUGAGGUGAGUGGGGCUGAGAGACUUCAGAGAAGUGUGACUAGCCCAACGUCACCCAGCAGCUGCAUGUGGAGGAGCGGAGAGGCGAACCCGUUUCCCCAUAUUACGAGACUACCGCUCUUAACAACUAUACCCCGCCCUCCCCGGCCAGAGCUAGGCUCAGGGCGGCUAAAAUCAGUAAAAUUACAGUAAAAAAACAUAAUAGUGGGGGGGGGCAAUUUAAAAUACAGGUUAAGAUGCAAUUUAAACAAGCAGCCUCAUUUUAAAAGUAGCCCAUAAAUCUAAAUCAAAACUAUAAGGGGAGGGAAACAUAAGGGUCAGACUGAGUCCAAACCAAAGGCCAGGCGGAACAGCUCUGUCUUGCAGGCCAUGUGGAAAGAUGUCAAGUCCCGCAGGGCCCUAGUCUCUUGUGACAGAGCAUUCCACCAAGUCGGGGUCAGUACUGAAAAGGCCCUGGCCCUAGUUGAGACCAAUCUAACCACCUUGCAACCUGGGACCUCCAAAAUGUUGUCAUUUGUGGACCUUAAGGUCCUCCACGGCGCAUACCAGGAGAGGUGGUCCCAUAGGUAUGUGGGUCCUAGGCCGCAGAGGGCUUUGAAGGUCAAAAACCAGCUCCAGGCUGUUCUCCCUGCAGAAAGAGCUCUGUGAAUCAAAACCACCAGCUGCCCUCCUCAUCCUCCUUGAGGGGAAGCGAGGGUGAAGGGAAAAGACAUGGCUCCUUCAACCCUCGUAGUGCUGCAUCCAGACAAUGCUCCUUCGUGAAGAGGAGACACAUGAAGAGGAGCUGGGUCUCCCACUGUCUUCUUCCUUCCCCUUUCCGCCAAAAGGGAGGGAGACCACCAUCAGCCAUCCACCACUGGAGAGAGUGGCGCACAGGAGGGUCUACUGACGUAAACAGCUUUGCAGAGCCCACGAUCCUCCCUGCGUCCUUCCACCAGCUCGGAAGGAGGUUGAGCCCUACAGCUCUCAGUCCCUUUCCCUUUUUCAAAGAUCUGCUUGGUGAAUUGGAAGAGCACAUGUUGCCAAACCACCAGUGGGGACAAAAACAGAAAACAAAAAAAGCCAGACAUUUUAGUAGGGUUGCCAAAGUGAAAAUAAUAAUAACAAUAAUUUAUUAUUUAUACCCCACCCAUCUGGCUGGGCCUCCCCAGCUACUCUGGGCGGCUCCCAACAGAAUAUUAAAAAUACAAUAAAACAUCAGACAUUAAAAACUUCCCUAAACAGGGCUGCCUUCAGAUGUCUUCUAAAAGUCAGAUAGUUGCUUAUUUCCUUUACAUCUGAUGGCAGGGCGUUCCACAGGGUGGGUGCCUCUACUAAGAAGGCCCUCUGCCUGGUUCCCUGUAACCUUGCUUCUCACAGUGAGGGAACCACCAGAAGGCCCUUGGAGCUGGACCUCAGUGUCCGGGCUGAACAGUGGUGGAGGAGACACCCCUUCAGGUAUACUGGGCCAAGGCUAUUUAGGACUUUAAAGGUCAACACCAACACUUUGAAUUGUGCUCAGAAACAUACUGGGAGCCAAUGUACGUCUUUCAGGAUCAGUGUCUGGCCUUGGCGGCCACUCCCAGUUAAGUUGCUGAGCUAUUUUCUUUUCUUUUCUUUUUGCAAAAUUCUCCCAAAAUUUGAGGCUUGGGAACUUUCUGAAAGGAAAUGCACUAAAAAAAUACCGUAAACACUUCCGGGAAAGGCUGCCAUACAUUUGGGUUUUACUGGACAUUUUAGCCCUUUCCAGAAAUCCCUCCAGGACACUAUUUGCGACGGACACUAUUUGCGACAGACAAAUCUGUACAUGUCCCGGGAAACCCAGAUGUAUGGCAGCCCUAUCAUCAUCAUUGUGAUUAGAGAUAGAGAUGAAUGAGGCUAUAAGCCCAUCCACCUUAUACACCAAGGAGAAAUAUCUUGCCAGAGACAACACUGCAAAUCUCUGUAAAAGGGCUAGAUCAGCCCUCAAAGAAAGCUUGUGCCAGAUGUUUAUGGGGAAUAAGCAGAAUUCCUAUUGCUCUCUAAUCAUUAUCCCAUUGGCUUUAUUUUUUCAACAUAGAAACAUAGAUUUGGAAUUGCUCAUAUACUUUGUGUGAGGACAAGAAAUGGGAUGGCACAGCCGUCAGCCUUUUGCUGAAUCAUAUAUAGGUUAUUUUCACUGCUGCCACACCCCCCCCCCCAAAAAGCUACAGUGCAAUGAACUAUAAAAAGCAGGUUCUCUUCAGGGUGGGUGGGGGGAUAUAUAUAAAAGCAAUGAAGCACAGCCCCAUAAGGCAGUGGGGGAGGGAGAGAGAGAGUGAAAUUCAAGCUCUUGCUCAAUAAACAAAGCAGAGACGUGGACGCCUGCUUUGUGGUGCCUGUUUGGGUCCUUAGCUCCAGAGAGUUGGAAAGUGGAGUUGUUCCUAGAAUGGGGCUCUGAAACUCAUCACCUUCCAAGUUGAAUCAGGACAGCUGGUUUGUAAGCUGCUGCCAAUUCCACUGGCUCCUCAACUGGGCAAUAGAGCUGUGACAAGAGAGAACUCAGAGUCCCAGGCUGACAUACUUAUGCACCAAACUGCCUUUGUUCUCCCGACUCUGGUGUGAUAUUUAAUUCAUAAAUGUUUGCUUUGAACAUUGCCCUGGAUUGUAGAUGCUAUAUGUUCUCCGUGAACAUUUAGCAUGUUUCCACUAGGUGGUAGCAGUAAACCACUCUAGAAUGAACGGGAGAUAGCAGAGGUGAUUCCCAUUCUGUUUUAAGGUGUCCAAGUACAUAUACAAGUUACUGCCUUGAAAUAAUAAUAAUAAUAAUAAUAAUAAUACCCUGCCCAUCAGACUGGGUUUCCCCAGCCACUCUGGGCAGCUUCCAGCACAUAUAAAAACAUAAUAAAACAUCAAACAUUGAAAUGUAGUUUGAGAACAGCAACUGCUGUAGUUUCCCCAACACUCCAGAAUGAAGUGGUGAGACACCAUUUGGAUUUAAGAAAGGACCACAACUAUCAGCAUGUUUAGGUAGUUGUCUGAACACACACAUGCUGUAUCUGUACCUGUGCACUUGUGCUUCCUGUACAAAUGUGCUACCUUCUUCAGUAAAUGCAAGCCGGCAACCUGCCAGCUUUCCCUUGGAAAAUACUGAUUUUGUGCAAUUGCGCCAGUAUUCCAUACAUCUCCAACAUAGAUGAUCAUCAAAUCAUAGAGUUGAAAGGGGCCACGAAAGUCAUCUAGACCCUACAACACAGGAAUCUUUUGCCCAACAUGGGGCUCAAACCCACAACCCUGAGAUGGUCUCAUGCCCUCCUGACCGCUGUGAUAGGGUCGCCAUAUUUCAAAAGUGAAAACCCAGACACAAAAGUUGUUGAGCUUUUCUGGGCAAACUUUUGGAGCUCCCCCCCCCCCAUAUAUAUAUAUAUAUAUAUAUAUAUAUAUAUAUAUAUAUAUCCCCCAAAAGUAAAGUUUUUGGAAAUUCGCCAGAAAAUCAGCACUUCCAAUAUGCACUGCCAUACACCCAGGUUUUCCCAAACAUUUUUACCGAUUUCAAAAAAUCUGGCUCAGACACCAGGAAAUUCCGGAACAUAUAGCAGCCCUAAGACGCAGCAAAAUUGACUGGUUCUGGGGUCCUGAAACAGCCUGAUGGUCUUUGAAAAAGAUUAUGUAAUGAAUGAGUGCAUUUAUGCAAUAGACCCACGUCUCUGUGCUGUAUUUUGAUGGAGGAGGGGAACCGACUCUGGUCAUUAACGAGAAGGCCAGGGCAUCAACUGGAAAUAUGAAUAGUAUGGUUUGUGUCAGGAUCGCUUCCUGGUUUCAUAACUUGAUUGAGAGAGAUCCUUCAAGCCAGCGUUUCUGGUGGCAUGGGAAACUGUGGUUUAAAAAACUAAUAUACCUUUGCUGAAGCUUGGUGCGCAAGAGAAAGAAGGAAAGGAUUGGGGGAGGAAGGAGCCUGCAGGCACACCACUCAUCAGACCAGGCAAGUGUGUUAAAUGUUGUGCUGACAGCCCUGCUCAGAGAGAGUUGCUUAUAUUUGUCACACACUGCAACUUAGAUCCCAUUGAUUGAUCAGAUUCCAUCAAAGAAAUAAAGGUGUCUAUCUGUGUUUGCUCAUACCAUAGCAUGCCAAAUGCAAAUUGACUGAACAAUCAGUCAUAUAGAUUUGACAGCAUGUUCUACAAAUGUUCUCUGCUUACUCAUUUCACCACGGUAAAUCAGAGGAAAGGGCUAGCUUGAAGCUAUGGCUUCAAAGCCUGAUAUCCUUUCAAGGUGAGCACUGCAUAGGUGUUAUUGAUGAAUUGGGAAUCAGGGACUAAUUGUUCUCUAGCAUGCAUUGUGCUGAUGGCACGGAUGGGGUGGGGAGGAGGAAAAACCAUCAUUUAGCUUCUGCUCACCUCUAAUUGUGCUGCCAGGUGUGUAAGCAUCUUCUGUUGAAAAGGGUCAGCCAAGUAACUAUCCCCGCUGAACAUGCAUAAAAAGAAGCUGAGAAUCUUUAAUGCAGAUAUUAAUCCUAGGUACUUUUUGCAGAGAGGCUGAGAUUGCUCUUGUGUGCUGCCUCUGGCUCCUUGAUAUGCUGCCAACUCCAGCAAGCCAACCCAUCUAUUAUCCUGCAUUUUGCCUUGGACACAAAACCACACAGUGAUUUCAUCUCUUUGCAUGGGUUCGACCUCUGCUUCGACAGCGGAAGCGAGUGGAGUGUCAGGUUAACACACACCACCCCUGUGUGUCGUGUGAACUGAAGCAAGGGAUGAAACAGCAGGAGAACAGGAAAACGGCUUCUGCGGAUCAAGAGUAUUUCAGCUUUAUGGAUUCAAGUAAAACAAAAGCAAAGGAAACAGUAAAUGAGCACUUUAUUGAACCGCCAAGGAACUGAUAAGGUUCUUUAUUGAGUCGUCUGCCGUUCGACAAGACAGCUCUUCCCAGGCUGAGAGGAAAACUGGUGGCAACAGGUUACAGUGGUACCUGGUUGUCAAACUUAAUCUGUUCCAGGAGUCCGUUCAACUCCCAAAACCAUUUGAAAACCAAGGCGCAGCUUCCGAUUGGCUGCAGGAGCUUCCUGAACUCAAUCGAAAGCUUUGGAAGCUGCGUCGGAUGUGCAGCUUCCAAAAAAUGUUCACAAACCAGAACACUCACUUCUGGGUUUGCGGCGUUCAGGAGCUGAUUUGUUCGGGAGCCAAGCCGUUCAAGAACCAAGGUACCACUGUAUUUACUGGGACAGAGCGACUUUUGCAGCUGUUCUUAAAAGUUGCAAAACAAUGAAGCACAGGACGAAGUGACAGAGAAAUUUCUGUAGGUCUCCCUACAUCUGAAAGUUUAAUAAAGUUGUG